rnacentral:lncRNA from 1 species
UACCGUUACUGUAGGCGUACGGGGACUCUGCCGCGCCGUCCUGCAGGCUCUCCAGGAUCUCGCCCUUGCCCACGUCGCUGUCGCCCACCAGCAGGAACUUGAGCAGGGCUCCACCCCAAUCCACUCACGUCAGCCACAGGAACGAGGGCGUCGGCCAGAUGCCCGAUGCGGCUUCUCCCGUGGAGCCAGGACAGCAGCAUGAGGCCCAGGGCCACGUCCAGCAGCACAGAGGCCACCGUGUUGGCCUUCCUGGAAG